rnacentral:rRNA from 1 species
UGAGGGAAAGGCGAAAAGAACCCCGGCGAGGGGAGUGAAAAAGAACCUGAAACCGUGUACGUACAAGCAGUGGGAGCCCCACCACUAAGCCAGUGGUGAACUCCACAUCCGCAUCCUUUGCUGAGGAUACGGUUAACGGAGCGAAAGCGACGUUCAACCGCAAAACAAGCAGAGGGGGCUUAGUGGUGGGGUGACUGCGUACCUUUUGUAUAAUGGGUCAGCGACUUAUAUUCUGUAGCAAGGUUAACCGAAUAGGGGAGCCGGAGGGAAACCGAGUCUUAAUUGGGCGUUAAGUUGCAGGGUAUAGACCCGAAACCCGGUGAUCUAG